rnacentral:rRNA from 1 species
UGGGGAAUUUUGGACAAUGGGCGCAAGCCUGAUCCAGCCAUGCCGCGUGCGGGAAGAAGGCCUUCGGGUUGUAAACCGCUUUUGUCAGGGAAGAAAUCUUCUGAGUUAAUACCUCGGGAGGAUGACGGUACCUGAAGAAUAAGCACCGGCUAACUACGUGCCAGCAGCCGCGGUAAUACGUAGGGUGCAAGCGUUAAUCGGAAUUACUGGGCGUAAAGCGUGCGCAGGCGGUUUUGUAAGACAGAGGUGAAAUCCCCGGGCUCAACCUGGGAACUGCCUUUGUGACUGCAAGGCUUGAGUGCGGCAGAGGGGGGAUGGAAUUCCGCGUGUAGCAGUGAAAUGCGUAGAUAUGCGGAGGAACACCGAUGGCGAAGGCAAUCCCCCUGGGCCUGCACUGACGCUCAUGCACGAAAAGCGUGGGGAGCAAAACAGGAUUAGAUACCCUGGUAGUCCACGCCCUAAAACGAUGUCAACU